AGAGUUUGAUCCUGGCUCAGGAUGAACGCUAGCGGCAGGCCUAAUACAUGCAAGUCGAACGGUGAUAGCAAUAUCAUAGUGGCGCACGGGUGCGUAACACGUAUGCAACCUACCUUAUACUGAGGGAUAGCCUUUCGAAAGGGAGAUUAAUACCUCAUAACACAUUGAACUGGCAUCAGUUUAUUGUUAAAGAUUUAUUGGUAUAAGAUGGGCAUGCGUCCAAUUAGUUAGUUGGCGAGGUAACGGCUCACCAAGACGAUGAUUGGUAGGGGAACUGAGAGGUUAAUCCCCCACACUGGCACUGAGAUACGGGCCAGACUCCUACGGGAGGCAGCAGUAGGGAAUAUUGGGCAAUGGAGGCAACUCUGACCCAGCCAUGCCGCGUGCGGGAAGAAGGCGUUAUGCGUUGUAAACUGCCUUUAUAUAGGAAGAAAUAGACCUUGCGAGGUAAGUUGACGGUACUAUAUGAAUAAGCACCGGCUAACUCCGUGCCAGCAGCCGCGGUAAUACGGAGGGUGCAAGCGUUGUCCGGAUUUAUUGGGUUUAAAGGGUGCGUAGGCGGUUUAUUAAGUCAGUGGUGAAAGA
rnacentral:rRNA from 1 species